rnacentral:rRNA from 1 species
GAACACAAGGUACUGAAACUACACAAAGUCUUGUACGGGCUACACCAAGGCUCUCGGGCAUGGAGCAUCAAACUUGAUCGAACGAUAAUUUCUCUUGGAUUUGAGAAAGCCCCACUAGAGCAUGCGAUGUACAAGAGAGGUGAAGGAAGGGAUCAUCUACUAGUUGGCAUCUAUGUCGACGACCUAUUGAUUACUGGAGCGGAUGAAGAGGUGAUUGCAGAAUUCAAGCUACAAAUGAAAGAGCUUUUCAAGAUGGAUGAUCUAGGUCUUUUGAGCUAUUACCCAGGGAUAAGGGUACAUCGAAAGACGGAGGGGAUCACACUAUGCCAGGAGGCAUAUACAAGGAAGGUACUUGAGAACCGUGGCAUGAAAGAUUGCAAUCUAGUUGACGCUUCAAUGAAACCUCGUCUUGAACUGAGCAAGAAGAGUAAA